rnacentral:lncRNA from 1 species
ACUGCACUGUGUAAUUCCUUUAUUUUCUGCAUAUUAGUGCUUUACCAACACUACAACCAUAAAGAACACAAUUCCAAGUACUGUACUUUUUAGUUUGGGGAGAUCACAGUCUACAGACUCAUUUACUUAUAUUAAACAAGAUUAACCUCAUUCAAAACUUACUGCAGUUUAUAAAUUCACAUAAAUACAGAAAUGGAUGCAAUUAAACAACUUCAGGAUCUUAUUUUUAAAAUUCUUAGAUAAUUUUUUCUGCAGGCUAUAAUUACCUGCUCCAGUCACAUUUGAAAUUACUAAGUUAGAACUCAUAAGGAAGGGGGGGGAAGGCCUUAAAUAUAAAAGACAAACGGCAGUUUGAUUAAGCAAUAAUUUUCAGUUUACUAGAUGAAACAGACUUGCAACAUAGUCUGCAUGAAUGCAAAAUAAG